UAGACAUACAUAAAAAACUUUUAUAGACAUACAUAAAAAACUUUUAUAGACAUACAUAAAAAACUUUUAUAGACAUACAUAAAAAACUUUUAUAAACAUACAUAAAAAACUUUUAUAAACAUACAUAAAAAACUUUUAUAAACAUACAUAAAAAACUUUUAUAAACAUACAUAAGCUUGUAUAAACAUUUCCCCCCUUUUCAAUCGCCCUUCUCUUAUUUAUCUCUAUUUUUAUAUUUAUCUUCCUUAAGCUAAAAAACCUUAUAGAACAUUUGUAUAGCAUUAAAUUCAAAUUAGAAAAAGAAAAAAAAAAAGAAAAAGAAAAAGAAAAAGAAAAGGAAAAAAAAGUAACUCCUCUUUCAAAUCGUAAAUGUUUACUUAAGGAAAAAGAAAACGGUACAAACGGUCAGAAAAAAUCAGUUAACAUAAAAAGUAAUACACUAGAACAAAAAUGCAAGGAAGGUGAUAAGUUAGCAGAGACUGCUAUUCCUAAUCUAAUAAAAACGAUCGAAAUUUAUAAAAACAGAGUUAUAGAAGAAGAAAGGAGAAAAAGACUUUUAGUUCAAAAAUAUGAAAAAAUGUUAAGAAGUGUUAAAAAGAAGCAUAUGCAAGAAAUCAAUGAAAUUAAAAAUAACAUUCUCAUGGAUGUUGAUUUUAUAAUACAGAAGUAUAGAAAUAUAUCAAUGGAAUUACUAGAAAUUAGUAAAGAGAAAGAAAAGGAAAAAGUAGACGAAAAAAAAAAAAUAUCUGAAAUAUGUAUCAUGGCUUGUAAAAGGUUUGAAGAGGAUGUAAAGAAAAAAGCUAUGGUAAAAAACACUUGUAAAAAAAAAAAAAAAAGAAAAAAGAAUAGAGUAGACGCUAUAGUGGUAUUACGUGAAGAUAUGUAUCGAUACACACAAGCAUAUACAUAUACAUAUAUAUAUAUAUAUAUAUAAAUUAU
ensembl:lncRNA